CGCCCCCCCCCGCUGCCGGAGCCCCGCCCACCGUGGGUGUCGGGAUCCCUGCGCCCCCCCCCGAAGGCAGCGCCUGCAGCAAUGGGGGACCCUGCAAGGGUCACGGCAGCGCCUCCCCAGGGCCCCAUUGUGACAGCCUGAGCCCGGACCGGGCACUGGGACCGGGAGCACCGACGGCACCGACGGCACUGGGAGCACUGGGAGCACCGGGAAUGGCACCGGGAGCACUGGGAGAGGCACUGGGAGCACUGGGAGA